UCUUAAAAAAUUCGAGAUAUUUUUUCAGAAAUUUUCAUAAAUUUAUAUGACAAUUCGAAAAAAUGUCAUCAGAGAUAUCAGAAUUUUGUUCACCAGGAUUGAUCGUAAAAAAUAUCAGAGAGAAUCAUGUUUGUGACGUUUCGUUGGAAAUAAUUUUCUCGAAGCACGAAAAUGAGAAUUUCUAAAGGAAAGUAAAAACCAACGGAGAUUUAGAAAGGCGAUUGAAAAAAAGCGAUGAAGGAAAAAAGUUGAAGCACUGAAAAGCACUUGAUUCGAUAAGCAUUUGUCUACGACACGAUUAGAUUUCUUCGUUUUAUUGGAAUGGCAAUCGCGAAUUGAUAUAUCUAAUGCGGAAUUGAAUGAUAGCGUGCUGAAAUUUCUUCACAUCUUUGGACGUUAACAUCGAUCGCGUUACUGUUAUCGUUGUUUCCUUUCGGAGACUCGACGAGACUCUUGACUUAUAUAUUUGAAAAUCAUCCUCUUUGAUCCUCGCUUUUCAUCCAAAAGUUUUCCCUUCAUCUUUCCAAAAAUGUAGAACUUCCUAAAUUCUGUCAAAAAAAGUACGCCUACGAGUAUAACUGGCAAAAUCUCUUCUCUCGCUACGUUUGGAAGUGAUACUUUCCAUAAACUGUGAGAAAUUAUGUAACAAAAAGCUUCCCUUUCAUGAUGUAUAUACUUCCUUCCCAUCUUUCAUGUCCAUUUGUUCGCCAAUUACGAAAAUAACCUAACGUCGUCAUCUUCGUUGAACGUAAAAGACACGCGCCGAGAAGCCGCCGGAUAGCCAGGCUUUUUGACCAUCUGGGACGAGAGAUGAAAAGAUCACUAAAGGAUUCAUCGUCAAAGCUACAUUUAACGAUUGCACUCGUCUCGCGAUCGGAACUCGACGGAUGCGUCUGGCAUAUUUCUUUUCGAAAAAUUUUCUAAAAUUCGCUUUUUCCUUAAAAAGAAAAAGAAAAAGAAACAAAACGUUCCCGUCACCGUCGGGAUCAAUUUUUUCGCAAAUCGUGAAUUCGGAAAAUUUGAAAAAUUUAUAAACUUGUCGUUUGAUUUUUUUUUUGUAUAAGAGAGGAAUAAGAGAAGAAUAAGCGGAGCCCCUCGAGUUCCAGCGAUCGCGACCGCGGGUCGAUUCAUUGAUCGUUAUUAUUAAAGUUUUUGCGUUACAGGGCGUUUUUUCCUCGGAUUAAGUAGUAUGUAAAUACACCUUGAUAUCACAAGCAUAAACUGAGAAUUUACUGAUAAACUUAAACGAACGUACAUAAUGCGAAAUAGGGUUAGUUUCUAUGUAAAUACCUAAAGCUGGACGAGUGCAUACACCUCGUUCACGCAACCAACGAUAAUCGUUUCUUAUCGAACCAGAGCUUCUGUUCGUUGUCGGCGCGUGCCCACGACGAUUGGCGAUCGCUUCCGCCGCCCUGACCUCGCCACCACCCUAAAGGGUGGACUUUACCAUCCCCCGAGGAAGGAUCGCGUGCGGGAGCGUUCGCUGUUUCUCGGGCAUCACCGAUCGGGAAAUUUUUUUUUUCACGACACUAAUACACUUACACAUCAACACUUACACUACACGGCAUUGCGAUGGAUUGUACAGGGAUAGGAAAACAUCUAAAACACAAUCGUCGCACAUUUCGACGCCCACCGUAACAUCGUUAGGGAUCGAUUUAUCAGAAAAUUUCCAUCGAUAAAAUAUCGCGUAUUGUUUUUCGGUCUUUGAUGAAAGAAAUCGCGGACACAAUGAAACGUAUAAUAAGUAGUGUGGUAAAAAAAAUUUUGUAGCGCUUCUGGUGCGAAAGAGAUGCGAGCGUGCUGCAGAAAAUUAAGAAUGAGAGAAACGGCGUGAGAAAAUCUGGAAGAGAGCGGAUGCAAAAUUGAAUAGAAAUUUUAAGAUCUGUUUGAAGCAAAAAGGAAUGUCAGACAAUAUCGGUGAGUUUGAGAAUGGACGAUGGAGCGAAUGAAUAGAAUUUAGUUAGGCGAAGCUGUUAGCACGUGUCUCGCGCGGCUGAAGCGCGAAAUAAAUUCUCGUUGGAAAAUUCGCGAGUUAUCUAACGAUUUUCAAGUGAACCGUAAUUUCAUUUCGCGGUCCUUAAUCGAGCGUCGAGAGAUAUCAAGAUCACGGUGCACGAAAUAGGUAGUAAAGAGCGCAAUAAGAGCGAAGUAAGAAACGGAAGGAUGGAAAGGUCAGAGCGGUUACUAGUUACCACCAUCACAAAAAAAAAAUUUAAUAAAACAACAGCGACAACAAUACAAAACACUACCACCACUACCACGUCGAGAUCCUUCAUGACUGAAUCGCGAUCAUGAAACGAUUGACAGACGACUGUUUUCGACCGGUGCAUCCUGCCGUGCGCCGAGGGUUGCUUUUUUUAAUUAGCAAAGCGACAAGAGCGCGAUAAUCGACGGGAUGGUUCUCCAACCUUCCCCCCGAUUGCAAUGAAAUAACACAUCUUCGCGAAGGAAAAAUUCCCGAGGCGCCGGCCCGUGCCCCGCGAACGUGUACCAUAAUUUUAAAUUUAAACGAAAGGUAAUGCAAAAAAAAAACACACACAAGCGCGUUAAACAAUAGAUCUAGUAGUGUAUGUUCUGUAAUCAACUGAGAAGUAAGCGAGGAUAAAGAUAAAGAAAAGUAAUAAUAAAAAAAAUGCGGGUCACACCGCGAAAAAAAGCACAAAAAAAAAUAAUUUACAAAUAUAUUGAUUUACAUAUGCCCGUAACUCGUAAGGGGGCCGGUGGCGCAAACGCGCCCGUGUGAGAUUUUCGGGCCCUACGACGACGUAGGAAGAGAGGAGACGGCGGGACACGUAACACGGGCGUCCGCGAGAGCCGCGAGACCACGAGAUGUGCUCGCGGUCCAUAAAGCGGAAGCGGAUAAAGCGCGAGAGACCGUGAAAAAAAAAUCUAAAGAGACGGUUGUCGGUUGGGUCGUCCGUCUUCGUCGCGAGAGAGGCGGCGAGCCGCAUAAAGACGACGAAGGAAGACGAGAAAGCGACUGUGAGCAGCGACGAGAUACGGAAAAGGGGACGGAGGCUCACAACAACGCCUAGACAACGGGAGAAUCCGGAGAGGAAAGCCCCGAGGCGUCACGGACGACCCGAGGACGACGCAUGAGCGCCCGACCGUAGUCCACUCGUGGAAACACGACUAGCAAGUAGUCGAGAAGAGGCCCACAAUGGUAAUAAUAAUGAUAAUAAAUAUAUAUAUAUAUAUAUAUAUACGCGUAUAUAUAUAUGUAAUAAUGAAGAAAAUCCACAGCGCGACGUCGCCUGCAAAAUCGGCCCUACCAUAAUCUUAAUCUCUUUCAUGUAAAUUUGCUAAAUGUUUAAAUAAUCUAAAAAGUGCCAUAGCCCGGAUGCGCUGGUGCAUACUCCCAGCGCAUACACACUUACAAAUACGACUCGACCUUCACGAAUCAAACGAAAAAAUCCGCGGACGCGCGAGCGCGCGCGCGCUCGCGACCGCGGUAGAAUUGGUAUUCUCGCCAAGGAACAAAUACAGUGUAACAACAGUGACAGAAACCAACGCAAACAGGACACCCCACCCCCCCGCACGGGACGAGCGCGUAUCGCGCGCUCCCAAACGACACACAAGUUAAAGCGAAGUCGCCCUGGUCCACGAGCGUGCAACCCCGCGCGCUCAAACAGUUCUCAAUACACGAGCACGCGCGCAUGCGUGCGUGCGUGCGCGCGUGUUCACCCGCAUAAUACACAAGGUACAAGUACACAGUUUUCCACACUCGUAUACACUUUAAGCACACACGUCUACACACUUAAUUACACACGCUACGGAUAUGUAAAGCCAAUUAAUUUUGUAAAUUGCCUAAAAAAGAAUUUUUGAAAAGACACGAUUCGGCCCCGCGAUAACAUUAUAUUUUUGCGCGUGUCACGCAGAAAAACGCCGAUCCACCUGGGAAAAGUCUCUCCGGCUUUUUUUCCCUCUCGCGAGGGGCGAAAAAAAGAAAAAGAAAGUCCGCUUUUCACAGAGGGGAGACGCGUCUUCUCGGGCACCGUUGGAAAAAGACUUUGUCGACUUUUCACGGUUCAAUUUCAGAAGAGAGAGCAAAAUUCGUGGAUGAUAACGGCACACGCGUUUGUGCUGGUAGUGCUACGUAAUAUGUAUGAACGCAGCAAAAUUUCGCGGCCUUUGGCAUACAGUUUGGAUGCAGUACCGAUGAUGAACGGUGCGUGCGUACUCGCGUGAGACACGCGCGAGUGCGCACGCCCAAAACACGUCCCGGACUUGACACGAGAGUACCCGGAUGUGACGUGUGGGCGGCCUCUUCGUCGGGCUAAGUCCCGACAACGGAUAGGUGGCGAGGUGCCAGAGAAUUUUGUCAAUGAGAGUCGAUGGCAAGUGAGAGAAGGAUUUGAAGAAAUGCGACAAAGUGGCGAAUGAAGUCCAAAACGAAGUUCGAAGCCCUUUGAUCGAGAGAGAGAGAGAGAGAGAGAGAGAGAGAGAGAGAGAGAGAGAGAAAGGCACCUUGGAUACCACCUUGGAGAGACCCAUGUUCCACGAGACGCAAUCACGAAAAGUGUAAUAAUCACAUAAGGAACACAUAACUAAGAGGAAUGUGGCAGCGGCAAUUGCAUAAGGGCCGUUGUUCGAGUGCGGCUUUACAAGCAAAAACCGUUGGUUUGUUUUUGAUCGGGUUUUAAUUUUUUAAUGAAAUAAUCUCACGACGCGCGAAUAUAUAUCACGUACGAUCGCGCGCGCGCACGUGCGCGCCUGGAUUUUGCAGUGCAGCUCCGUGAUGAUCGUACCGGCAAUAUUUGUUGGGGGCAAACGGCACGACGUACGACGUAUGUGCAUAUUAUUCGCGGCAGUGUGUAUCGUAAGUGCGCAGCAUAUGAUAAAACCGACAGUCUAGCAGUGCGAGCGCCUCGGCGGCAUUCGCGUCUUCACGCGGUGACCCUGACCGAGCCUCCGUGAUUAAAAACCGGAAUAAGUUGUUUAAAUGUCCACUAUAUAAAUGAAAGAGCCAUAGUUGUUAAGGCGGUGGGUUCCGUCGUUCGGCGAGUCGAUUCGACCUCACAUCGCGUCACACGCGUUCGUCCUGGCCCCAGAGAGAGAGAGAGAGAGAGAGAGAGAGAGAGAACUUCGAGAGAGACGAGAGGCGGCGAGUCAACGGGGGAAAACGCGCGAGCGACAGUUACGGAGAGAUUUCAACGACCGCGAAAAACAUUUGGCAAACCGGCAAAAUUCCGAGGUUCCUGGCAGAUCGAAACAACAACAGAGGUAGCCGAGAGAAUCCGAUUUGGAAAUUUCGCGUCUAAAUACGACGUUCGGCAAUCGAAAUUCAAUAUUAACUCUAAUCCAUAUUCUCGAUACUUUUAACAUUAAACGUCGGGCUCUCUAUCCGAUUUUCUCAUCUCUCUGAAAGUGGCCGGUUCAGUGCCGGCGAAAGGAAAAUAGAUGAGAUCGGAAUCAGAUGUAGCGUUCGGCGUUGGAUGUGUAACGAAAAUGUGGAUCUUUAUCUCGGCUAUCAAGCGGAUGGGAAGGAAAAAGUAGGAAAAAACAUCCGGGAACGGAGAGCAUCCAGAGACUCUAAACCUUAUGAUCGAUCGAAGUCGUGAAGAAGUAGCGACUGCCAUGAUCCCCACAAACAAUCCACACAAUUAAUAUAAUAACGGUCGACGGCAACGAGCGUACGGACCCAUCGCGCUGUCUCGUCAUGGGACAGAUCAUGCGAACGUGACGUGUCCGAUCGUAUUCGAUCGUACUCGAUCAUACCACCGUGUGGUCUUCCCGCGACGAGGCGAUACUCUUUUCAAAAUAUUCUUCAUACUUCCGUUCAGGAGAAUGUGUUUCUUUUAACCUGAACCCAAUCGACCCCCCGCAUGCGUGUCCGAGGUGAAAGACCGAGUCCGUUUAUUUGGCAUAAAAACCGAAAAAGAAAAAGGAAAGAAAUCGAUAACCGCGCGAAAGACAGACGAAAUUAGGUAGUAACUUAUGAAUAUGAAAAAGUUGCGAAUUUAUCACAUAACUGUGAAUCGGCAUUAAAAGAAAACAAAAAAAAGACAGAACACGAGAGUGUGUGAGAUGAGUAUAUUGUCCGCUGAGUGGGUGCCUUCGUCAGGGUUUUCCGUUACAGUAAACAGACAGUUCUCAAGUAUAACUCACAAUUAGUAGUGCUAUAGUAGGACAGUAAUCACAGUGUACCGCAGUUAAACAGUUAAAUAAGUAAGUAUACGGGAAGCACGUGGUCUUUUUCAGUGUCUGCAGAAUCUCGUCGUACACCAUCUACCGUUAAUCGGGUAGUGGCACGACCGGAAGUAUACCGGAUUCAUUUCGUGCGCAACUUCCUACCGAAACCUCACCCGUCCCGAUCCACCGUUUGGCUAAACGUUUCUACCCUUCUAAACGACUUCUAACUAACUUACUUGGCCCACGAACGACCGGUACAAAAAGGAAUUCGAUCAUACUUAUCGAGAGAAAAAAAAUCUGUCCUAAGAGCAAAAUUCCAAAAAUAAUUUCCCAACCUUACCAAACCGGUCGCUCGCAACCUUUCCUUUCACAAUUCAAUCGCGACAUUUAACAAAUAAAUAUGAUAAUAAGUGUACUAAGUGUCUGUAGUUUAGCCAACGUGUACGUUGUAUACUCUGAGGUAGGCGCGAGAGAGUGACGGUGAUAGAAAGUGGGAGAAAUAGCCGGAGGAAGAAGGAGAGAGAGAGAGAGAGAGAGAGAGAGAUAGACGAUUGCACGGUGGAGCCAUAUUUAACUAACUGAUAACAAUUAAUUAAUUACAGUAAUCAUUCAAGAUGACUUAAUUAACAGUUAACCGUAUCGCAUACACACAUGAAUAAUUAUUAAUUACACGUACUCCAGUAUAUAAGUAAGGCGCCGAGCGGUAGCGCCGCGCGUACCGCGCGCACCGCCUCUAUCCAAUAAAGAAAUCGCGAAGGCACUCACUACGGAGAUCAACGAGCAGGGACUUUGGGACUCGGACGCGGAUCGGAGGGUACCUGAACACGCGAGCCCGGAUUCCAGAUCGAAAUUGAUCCGCCGAGUGAUCAACGUGGGAGGGGAGGGGGGGGGGAGAGGGGGAAGAGGAAAAAAAAACAGAAAAAGAAAACGAUCGAGCCCGACGAAAGUCUCCGGGAAGUCUGUCCGGCUCUUCCGGCGAUCGGAAACGAUCGGCUGUUCGACCUCAGGAUCGUUUCAACUCGCUCGCGACAAGAUCGUAACUGCGUGUUCGAGCAACGCGUGUUCAGGUGUCCCGCGCACCCCCUUUACUUUAUUGGUCUUUCAAGUGCAACGUUGAGUUACUUCACUUACAGCGUUGUUUUUCUACACAAUACAAAAUACCCCACCACCCGUCCCCACCGGCGAACCAAUCCACCUCAUCACGCUCCCGCAGGAACAAAGCCAUCCCCUUCACCCACCGCCCCAAUCACUCAUCCCCCAUAUACAAUGUUGUCUCACGUCCGUUCGCGAUAAACUUGGUUGCGAGUCCAGUGGUGGUCGCGCUCCGUUCCUUCGGUUAGAAAACAAAAGUAAAAGAGAUCACGAUUAAAAAAAAAAAAAACUGGAAUAGGCAAACCCUUUUACUUUUAAUAAAAGAGAAUUUUGGAAGGAUUUCUUAUCGGAGAAAUCACCGAUUCAUUUCUAUAUCCUCGAGAACCGUUUUCUCCAAAUUUUGACAAAAUACUUUUGCGAAAGUGAUCCAAAAACUGAUGCUAUUCCGACGGUUUCAUCUCGACAAUGGAACGGAACGCGACUCAAUCUCGACUCCGAAAAAAAAGCGAACGUUAAGUUUCUGAAUUCAGACUUUUACGUAAAGUUAGUUACCGAGUAAUACAGCGCAAGUUAUCGUUAAUUUUCGACGCGCAGCCUCGUUGCGACGAAGGCGAUGCAAAAUAGCGUGCAAAUCCAUCCGCACGAUCUUCUCGCGCUGAAGAGCGCGACGAGGAUGCGCGUGCAGGUUUAAUGGUAUCGAUUGAGUUUGGUCGAAGUCCCCUUUUGGGCAAACACACCGACGCACUUCCGGUCCCGCCGGCCAGCAUCGUUCGACAGAAAAAAAAAGAAGGAAAGAAAGAUGGGGAGGGGGGAAAAAAACGAUCUCGAGCCUCCGAGAAGAUCGCAAUAGAGAGGAAGCGAUCCUCCGUUCGAAAUUCAAUUCUAGUCAAAAGAGGGUACAAAGCCGAGACGGGUGUCAACUCGGACAGGCGAAAUCGGUACUUAUUUAAUGCGAGGAGAAAGCAAGGGGGAGAUAGAAAGAAAGAGAGAGAGAGAGAGAGAGAGAGAGAGAGAGAGAAAGGAGGCUCGAGAGGGAGAAACUUUCCAUAGGAUUGCGUGUAUUUCAUUCGGCGCGGCAGAGAAGAGAUUAAGGGAAACACGGGAAAUCGAUGAAUUGGAAAAAAAAAAAGAGGAAAAAAAAGGAAAUCGAAAUAUGGUGCUGGAGACGCAAUCUGUGGAAUCGGCGGGGUGGCGGGACCGUACACGAGGAAAUAUCCGCGUUGCUGACAAAACGUAGCCUCUUUUCGUUGUGUCAAACCGCCGGCCAGGAUCCGGGCCGAUCCUUGUAUAAGCAAAAACGACAAACUUUCAAAAAGCAAAAAAAGAUGAAUGUACGGUGCGAAUGGAUCUUUCAUGAAGCUUCGAUUGUUGUUGUUCCGUCGAGUUUUUCCUUUUGCAUAUAAAAAUACCCACCCUCACGCUUUCCCGGCGAGGCUGCCGGGCGGGAUCUCGCACGUUCGUUUCCGAUACGCUCGAUGAAAAUCGAUCCUCGAUCGGCGAAGAUAACGCGAAAAGCUUGGAAAGGGAUAAAAUGGA